GUGCUCACUUCAGCAGCACAUAUACUAAAAUUAGAAUGAUACAGAGAUUAGCAUGACCCCAGAACAAGGAUGCUAUGCAGAUUCAUAAAGCGUUCCAUAAUUUU
ensembl:snRNA Gm23794 predicted gene, 23794